rnacentral:rRNA from 1 species
GAUGAACGCUAGCUACAGGCUUAACACACGCAAGUCGAGGGGCAGCAUGAUUGAAGCUUGCUUCAAUCGAUGGCGACCGGCGCACGGGUGAGUAACACGUAUCCAACCUGCCGAUAACUCGGGGAUAGCCUUUCGAAAGAAAGAUUAAUACCCGAUAGUAUAGUAUUUCCGCAUGGUUUCACUAUUAAAGAACUUCGGUUAUCGAUGGGGAUGCGUUCCAUUAGAUAGUUGGCGGGGUAACGGCCCACCAAGUCAACGAUGGAUAGGGGUUCUGAGAGGAAGGUCCCCCACAUUGGAACUGAGACACGGUCCAAACUCCUACGGGAGGCAGCAGUGAGGAAUAUUGGUCAAUGGACGAGAGUCUGAACCAGCCAAGUAGCGUGAAGGAUGACUGCCCUAUGGGUUGUAAACUUCUUUUAUACGGGAAUAAAGUGGAGUAGGCAUACUCCUUUGUAUGUACCGUAUGAAUAAGGAUCGGCUAACUCCGUG